CGCGUAGGUGGUUUGAUAAGCGAGAUGUGAAAGCCCCGGGCUUAACCUGGGAACGGCAUUUCGAACUGUCAGGCUAGAGUAUGGUAGAGGAGUGUGGAAUUUCCUGUGUAGCGGUGAAAUGCGUAGAUAUAGGAAGGAACACCAGUGGCGAAGGCGGCACUCUGGACCAAUACUGACACUGAGGUGCGAAAGCGUGGGGAGCAAACA
rnacentral:rRNA from 1 species